AAGAACACAUUAGAGAAACAUAUAAAGAACACAGUAGAGAAACAUAUAAGUGACACAGUAGAGAACAUAUAAAGAACACAAGAAAAGAAAAUCCCUACAUCGGAAAAAUAUAAAGUUUUGAAAUCAUAAAUUUUUGAAAGAAAUAUCAAAAUUAUUUAAAAGUCUAGGGAAAACACGGAUCUAGAACAGAUCUAAAGGAAAUAGAAGAACCUCAAAAUCUAGGGUUUUAGAAGAACCCAAAUAGUGAGAAAGGCUUGGAUAGAUUUAAGUAGGAGGGGUCGAAGCCAAGCUUGAAACAGACAUGGCUUGCCGGAUGAAGGCCGGAGAUGGCUAUAAAACUUGAAUCAACAAGGUCUGGAUGAAGAUUCUUCGUCGUCAGACCAUGAAACCUCAGCAACCAAACGUAUAUGCACCAUGGAAGGCUGGUAUAUGAUGAGACCACCAUAAAUUCAAGCUAGGAGGUGGCCAGACAAGGUGAGUAAAAAUCAUCGGAGCGGAGGGAAAAUGGGAAAGGUUCUAGAGAGAACCAGAGAUAAGAGAGAUAGAG
rnacentral:lncRNA from 1 species